rnacentral:sRNA from 1 species
GUUUGCACUCAUCGGGGAAGGGUGAGAACCUUCGACUAAGGUUCGAUUCGAGCGAAAGCGAGAGAAGGUUGCCACAGGCAACGGCCCGAAGGGUGAGGAGCGAAGCGACGAAUAAUCCUUCCCCCACCACCA